CGGCAGUAACACAGAGGGUUUGAUUAUGGCUCAGAUUGAACGCUGGUGAUGCUUUACACAUGCAAGUCGAACGGCACGGACUUCGGUCUGGUGAAGAGUGGCGAACGGGUGAGUAAUGUAUCGGAACGUGCCUAGUAGUGGGGAUAACUACGCGAGCGGGGGAAGCAACAGCCGGCAUACGCCCUUCGGGGGAAAGCGGGGGGACCUUCGGGCCUCGCACUAUUAGAGCGGCCGAUAUCGGAUUAGCUAGUUGGUGGGGUAACGGCUCACCAAGGCGACGAUCCGUAGCUGGUUUGAGAGGACGACCAGCCACACUGGGACUGAGACACGGCCCAGACUCCUACGGAGGCAGCAGUGGGGAAUUUUGGACACUUGGGAAACCCCGAUCCAGCCAUCCGCGUGUGCGAUGAAGGCCUUCGGGCUGUAAAGCACUUUUGGCAGGAGCAACGGCACGGGAUAAUACCCCGUGCAACUGACGGUACCUGCAGAAUAAGCACCGCCAACUACGUGCCAGCAGCCGCGGUAAUACGUAGGGUGCAAGCGUUAAUCGGAAUUACUGGGCGUAAAGCGUGCGCAGGUUCGGAAAGAAAGAUGAAAUCCUGAGAGCUUAACUUUGAACUGCAUUUUUAACUACCGAGCUAGAGUGUGUCAGAGGGAGGUGGAAUUCCGCGUGUAGCAGUGAAAUAAGGCAGAUAUGCGGAGGAACACCGAUGGCGAAGGCAGCCUCCUGGGAUAACACUGACGCUCAUGCACGAAAGCGUGGGGAGCAAACAGGAUUAGAUACCCUGGUAGUCCACGCCCUAAACGAUGUCAACCAGCUGUUGGGGCCUUCGGGCCUUGGUAGCGCAGCUAACGCGCGAAGUUGACCGCCUGGGGAGUACGGUCGCAAGAUUAAAACUCAAAGGAAUUGACGGGACCCGCACAAGCGGUGGAUGAUGUGAUUAAUUCGAUGCAACGCGGAAAAACCUUACCUACCCUUGACAUGUCUGGAAUCCCGAAGAGAUUUUGGGAGUGCUCGCAAGAGAACCGGAACACAGGUGCUGCAUGGCUGUCGUCAGCUCGUGUCGUGAGAUGUUGGGUUAAGUCCCGCAACGAGCGCAACCCUUGUCAUUAGUUGCUACGAAAGGGCACUCUAAUGAGACUGCCGGUGACAAACCGAGGAAGGUGGGGAUGACGUCAAGUCCUCAUGGCCCUUAUGGGUAGGGUCAUUAAUGUCAUACAAUGGUCGGGGAUGAGGGUCGCCAACCCGCGAGGGGGAGCCAAUCCCAGAAACCCGAUCGUAGUCCGGAUCGCAGUCUGCAACUCGACUGCGUGAAGUCGAAUUCGCUAGUAAUCGCGGAUCAGCAUGUCGCGGUGAAUACGUUCCCGGGUCUUGUACACACUGCCCGUCACACCAUGGGAGUGGGUUUUACCAGAAGUAGUUAGCCUAACCGUAAGGAGGGCGAUUACCACGGUAGAUUCAUGACUGGGGUGAAGUCGUAACAAGGUAG
rnacentral:rRNA from 1 species